rnacentral:lncRNA from 1 species
UUUUGAUGUCAGUGUUCUGAACUGAAAUGUAAAUAAAGCCUUAGUACAGUCAGAUCCACAGCACCCCAAAAAUAAGACAGUCAGGCCACGCUCAAAUGGAGGCACUUUCAACGACGUCAGGAAAACCCAGCGGGUUAGGCCUUUGCUUUUAUGGAAGAGUUCGAGAAAAUUGGAUUUUGCUUUUGAUGUCUGUAAUUAUUUUUAUGUGGGAAAGGAUGAAAUCUAGUGGAGAACUCUUAUUUGAUCAUUAGGAUGGCUCGUGAGCGUUGUUUACUAGCAAUUAUUAAACGUGAAGGGAGAAUUGUUAAGUUAUAUUUAGAUUUUUCUUUUUACCCUACUCAAAAAAUAUUUGUCUUGUGUGAGGAAACAGGAAUCCUCUAGAGGCCAGAAAAAGUGAAAGAAAAGAAAAGAAAAAAAGAAAUUCUGGCAAUUUAAAAACAAAUUAAUGAUGUCACAAAACUUUCCCCUCCCCCGUCCUGUUAGAGAGUAAGAUCCUAGGGGCACACGCCAGAAAAGCCAUGCGCUAUUUUAAUUAGUUUAAGUCAUUGAUGAUGUUUCUUUUUCAGUUCAUGAAGAGAGAAGGUAUGUUUGGUCCCUCAGUGCAAAUGUACAGCUUUUAUUUUAGGCUUGCUAUGUAUGCAUGCUAUUAAAACAGAAGCAGAGGGUUUUAUUCCAUAGUGGACUGUAAAUGCUAUAUGAUUAAAUAUUAACUUUUUUUUUUUUGAGACAGGGGCUCACUUGUAGCGCUAGCUGUCCUUGAACUCACCAUGUACACCAGACUGGAUUUAAACUCACAGAAAUUCUCCUGCCUCUCUGAUGCCCAAGGAUGAAAUUAAGUCAUCACUACUGUCCCUGGUGGUCACUUUAACGUUAUUUAAAUAUCAUGUUUUCACUAACAGUUUACUUAAGCUUAAUCUAGAUAAGAAAUGUAAUGGUCUCUGGGCGUGAUGGUGCACUCCUUUCAUCUCAGUGCUAGGCAGGCAGAAGCAGGCAGAAGCAGGCAGAUCUCUGUGAGUUCAAACCUAGCCUGGUCUACAAAUCCCAGGACUGCUGAGACUAUCCCACAGAGAAACCCUGUCUUGAAAAACAAAACAAAGACAUGUGAUGGUCCGACGUGUUCUGUGGAGCAGUUUUCAUGUAUUUAUAACCAAAUAUCCAGUGAGUCCAGGAGGAUCCUAAAAUGCUGUUGGUGAGAGAAGAGAAGGCAGACAUGAGCAUUGGAAUAAUUAUGUUUUAACCACUUUAAUGGCUCCUGGUGGCAAUAAUUUUGAUAGUCAAGUUGCAGGAAUUCCAAUCUCAUCAAAAUCCACUCAAGAGUUCUUAUGUCAGAUUUUUAGAAAGUAUCUUGAAAGAACAAACAAGAACCAGUCCAUGCCUAAGUGGGUAUCUUAUUCAAUCUUACACUGUCAAAAAUAUC